AUCAAAUCCCCGCCACAACACAACCGCCUCCGUCGAUGGUGACUGAGACGGAGAAGGUUACAGUCGAGCGUCACUGUGCUGCGAAAGGUAAAGGCUUGAAUUGCUUGGUUCCGCCUCCUAAAGGUUACCAUCAGCUGGUUCCAUGGCCUAAAAGCCGUGACGAGGUAACUCCUUUGUUUGCAAUCUCUUGUUAGAGUUUAUUGGCUAACUAAAGCUUAAUAGCAAAGCUCAAGUGGAUUAAGCUUAGAAUCAGAAUGUAAUAAGCCUAAGUAGAUUGGAUUAAGCUCAAUAUUCACUUGUAUUGCAUUUUGGUUGGAAAACUCUGAUCUUGGGAUUAGCUUAAGUGUUGCCCAAAAAAAAAAGGGAUUAGCUUAAGUAGAUUAAGUGAUGUCGAAUUUGGAUUUGCAGAUUUCUUAAAAUAGCUACAAUUACAAGUAUCUUCAGUUAGAGGUGCCAAGGUUGUUACUGAUCCAAGUAAUGGGCGAUCAAAAGGUUAUGGAUUUGUUAAAUUUGCAGAGGAAAGUGAAAGGAACCGGGCCAUGGCUGAAAAUGAAAUGAAUGGUUUGUAUUGCUCAACAAGGCGUAUUAUCAGUAUUGUUAAGAACUUAGCCAACGUUGAUAUCUUCUUCUGUGUUUGCCUUUGACUGGUUUUGUAAAAUAUAUUGGACCGGAGUCGAGAGCAUGAAGAGUGCCACUAUAUUAUGUAAGUGAUAUGACUAGUACCUGAAGAAAGAAGAAAGAGGUUCAAGCGGAAAGUUAUGUUGAUCGUCAAUGUCGCUUCAAGGUUCUUUCUUCAUUGUCUUGAUUGCCAAGGUGGGACAAUCGAACUUCAGCAUUAACACCGGAGAAAGAGAUAUUCUACCUAGUGGCGAUCCUAACAUCGGCAGUGAAUGUAGUAACAUUAGUGAAUGUUUGUAUUGCUCAACAAGGUCAUGUGAAUGUAGUAACAUUAGUGAUAAUCAAAUAUGACAAAAGUUGGUAUCCUUUACAUUGUAGAUGUUUGUUUUGUAGUUUAGGUUGAAAUUUGUAGGGUUUUUUUUGUACUUGUAUUGCAGGUUCUGUUUUUAAAACU